rnacentral:tRNA from 1 species
GCGGGCGUGUUGGAAUGGCAGACAAGCUGGUCUUAGAAACCAGUGCUUUACGCGUGCGGGUUCAAGUCCCGCCGCCCGCACCA